rnacentral:rRNA from 1 species
AUUGAACGCUGGCGGCAGGCCUAACACAUGCAAGUCGAACGAGUGGCGGACGGGUGAGUAAUGUCUGGGAAAUUGCCUGAUGGAGGGGGAUAACUACUGGAAACGGUAGCUAAUACCGCAUCCCUUCGGCUGUGAACAGAUGGGAUUAGCCAGUAGGUGGGGUAAAGGCUCACCUAGGCGAAGAUCCCUAGCUGGUCUGAGAGGAUGACCAGCAACACUGGAACUGAGACACGGUCCAGACUCCUACGGGAGGCAGCAGUGGGGAAUAUUGCACAAUGGGCGCAAGCCUGAUGCAGCCAUGCCGCGUGUAUGAAGAAGGCCUUCGGGUUGUAAAGUACUUUCAGCGGGGAGGCGUUACCCGCAGAAGAAGCACCGGCUAACUCCGUGCCAGCAGCCGCGGUAAUUC